rnacentral:misc_RNA from 1 species
GAUGAAGAACGUAGUGAAAUGCGAAAAGUAAUGUGAAUUGCAGAAUUCAGUGAAUCAUCGAAUCUUUGAACGCACAUUGCGCCCGCUGGUACUCCGGCGGGCACGCCUGUCCGAGCGUCAUUUCAACCCUCAAGCCCCCCUUCGGGAUGGGCCUGGUGUUGGGGCUCGGCCGCCAUCUCCGGCGGCCGUCCCCUAAAUACAGUGGCGGUCACGUCGCGACUCCUUUGCGUAGUAGAAACACCUCGCUCCGGAUAGCAACGCGGUCCACGCCGUAAAAUCCCCAAUUUUCAAUGGUUGACCUCGGAUCAGGUGGGAAUACCCGCUGAACUUAAGCAUAUCAAUAAGCGGAGGA